rnacentral:tRNA from 1 species
GCCUGCUUAGCUCAGUUGGUAGAGCAACUGACUCUUAAUCAGUAGGUCCCGCGUUCGAGCCGCGGAGCAGGUACCA